UAGGGAAUCUUCGGCAAUGGACGAAAGUCUGACCGAGCAACGCCGCGUGAGUGAAGAAGGUUUUCGGAUCGUAAAACUCUGUUGUUAGAGAAGAACAAGGACGUUAGUAACUGAACGUCCCCUGACGGUAUCUAACCAGAAAGCCACGGCUAACUACGUGCCAGCAGCCGCGGUAAUACGUAGGUGGCAAGCGUUGUCCGGAUUUAUUGGGCGUAAAGCGAGCGCAGGCGGUUUCUUAAGUCUGAUGUGAAAGCCCCCGGCUCAACCGGAGAGGGUCAUUGUAAUCUGGGAGACUUGAGUGCAGAAGAGGGGAGUGGAAUUCCAUGUGUAGCGGUGAAAUGCGUAGAUAUAUGGAGGAACACCAGUGGCGAGUGCGGCUCUCUGGACUGUAACUGACGCUGAGGCUCGAAAGCGUGGGGAGCAAACAGG
rnacentral:rRNA from 1 species